rnacentral:rRNA from 1 species
CCUACGGGGGGCUGCAGUGGGGAAUAUUGCGCAAUGGGCGAAAGCCUGACGCAGCGACGCCGCGUGAGGGAUGAAGGUCUUCGGAUCGUAAACCUCUGUCAGCAGGGAAGAACGGUCACUGUGCUAAUCAGCAGUGAAUUGACGGUACCUGCAAAGGAAGCACCGGCUAACUCCGUGCCAGCAGCCGCGGUAAUACGGAGGGUGCGAGCGUUAAUCGGAAUUACUGGGCGUAAAGCGCUCGUAGGCGGUAUGUCAAGUCAAGGGUGAAAUCCCCGCGCUCAACGUGGGAACUGCCUUUGAAACUGGCAGACUGGAGUGUGUGAGAGGAUAGUGGAAUUCGAGGUGUAGGAGUGAAAUCCGUAGAUAUCUGGAGGAACUUCAGUGGCGAAGGCGACUAUCUGGCACAUAACUGACGCUGAGGAGCGAAAGCGUGGGUAGCGAACAGGAUUAGAUACCCUUGUAGUC